rnacentral:rRNA from 1 species
AGUUUGAUCAUGGCUCAGAUUGAACGCUGGCGGCAGGCCUAACACAUGCAAGUCGAGCGAGAAAGGUCUUCGGACUGAGUACAGCGGCGGACGGGUGAGUAAUGCGCAGGAAUCUACCUGGUAGUGGGGGGAUAACUCGGGGGAAACUCGAACUAAUACCGCAUACGCCCUACGGGGGAAAGCGGGGGACCUUCGGGCCUCGCGCUAUCAGAUGAGCCUGCGUAGGAUUAGCUUGUUGGUGAGGUAAAGGCUCACCAAGGCGACGAUCCUUAGCUGGUCUGAGAGGAUGAUCAGCCACACUGGCACUGAGAUACGGGCCAGACUCCUACGGGAGGCAGCAGUGAGGAAUAUUGCGCAAUGGGCGAAAGCCUGACGCAGCGACGCCGCGUGGGGGAUGAAGGUUUUCGGAUUGUAAACCCCUUUCAUGAGGAAAGAUAAAGUGGGUAACCACUUAGACGGUACCUCAAGAAGAAGCCACGGCUAACUUCGUG